UCACAACGCAGAGGGAAACUUAGGCAUUAUUAACUAUGUGGCGUACUGGAGGUCGCAGGAGGACAGUGGUAUAAUAGAGGAAUAUAAGGAAGGGAAAGGUUAGGAUCACUUUCAGCAAGCACGCAAGAACACAAGAAGCACAAUGAGUCGCCUGAUUAUUGUGUUGUUUGUGGUGAUGGUGGUGGUGGUGGUGGUGCUGAGUGAGCUGGUGACAGGCGCGCCCUCUGAUGCUUCACACCUGCGCGUGGCCAGAGCAGUGAAGCUAUUUGUCUACAAUGGCUCGCCGUCCAGACAUGCCACUUCGGGUGCAGUGAGAAAUCGCGGAGGUAAGCGGCCACGCAUAUACAGAGGAAACCGUCGCGGGAAUAGAUAUACUCGUUACCGUGGAUAAAGUAACUGCAUAUACUUACGGUGGCUAAGGUACAGGUUAGCGAGAUGACGAGGUGAGAACAGGACGAAAUGUUGUUGUGCGGAAGAUUGCAUUGAGGUACAGUGAUGUGGAAAGUGGAAUGAAAAAAAUGAGAAAUGGAAAGAGAUCGGGUUGAAAUAGAAAAAAAGAAAAAAAAGGAACAAGAAAAUGGGAAAUUGAGAAAGGAUGAGUUGAGGAACGAAGAAGAUGAGAAAUAGAAAGAGAAUGGGUUGAAGAAUGAAGAAAAGAAAUUGAAAAAAAAAUGGGUUGAGGAAUGAAAAACCAAGAGGUGAAAGGAAGAAAAAAAGAGACUUGUUUGGGUUAAGAUGCGAUGUUAGAAAAAAGAAGAAUGAAAAGAAGAUAAGAAAAUUAACGGGACAAAAAAGGUUAUCAAAAAUGUGAGGAAACGGAAGGAAAUUAAAUGGAAAGAUAUGUAAAUGGAAAAAUUGAAAUACGGAAAAAAGGAAAAGUGUAACAUAAGUUGAAAGACUGUUAAAGUCUAGAUUCUUUAAUUAUUAAGCUUCAUUUUUUGUUUCCUUAUUUGUUUGUUUUUAGUGUAUGUGUUUGUCAUUUUUCUAAAUGUUUCUUUGUUAAUUUAUCGUUAAACAAUUUAGUUUUUAAUAAAGUUAUCUGAAUAUUA